GCAGCAGGCAGGGGGCAGCAGAGAGACGUGUUUACUACUGAGGAAGACAGAUGAUUUAUGGGAAUUAUUACCUCAGAGCCGCUUUCAAGGUUUUCACCUUUUAAAAACGGUUUUUGUGUGUGUCUGUGUCUGGUUCAUUUUUUGGUUAAA